rnacentral:tRNA from 1 species
UAUAAAGUGGCUGAGAAAAAUAGGCGGUGAAUUGUAAAUUCAUAAACAAGCUUCAAAUGCUUCUUUAUUA